rnacentral:rRNA from 1 species
AUUGAACGCUGGCGGCAGGCCUAACACAUGCAAGUCGAGCGGAUGAAGGGAGCUUGCUCCUGGAUUCAGCGGCGGACGGGUGAGUAAUGCCUAGGAAUCUGCCUGGUAGUGGGGGAUAACGUCCGGAAACGGGCGCUAAUACCGCAUACGUCCUGAGGGAGAAAGUGGGGGAUCUUCGGACCUCACGCUAUCAGAUGAGCCUAGGUGGGAUUAGCUAGUUGGUAGGGUAAAGGCCUACCAAGGCGACGAUCCGUAACUGGUCUGAGAGGAUGAUCAGUCACACUGGAACUGAGACACGGUCCAGACUCCUACGGGAGGCAGCAGUGGGGAAUAUUGGACAAUGGGCGAAAGCCUGAUCCAGCCAUGCCGCGUGUGUGAAGAAGGUCUUCGGAUUGUAAAGCACUUUAAGUUGGGAGGAACGGCAGUAAGUUAAUACCUUGCUGUUUUGACGUUACCAACAGAAUAAGCACCGGCUAACUUCGUG